AGAGUUUGAUCCUGGCUCAGAGUGAACGCCAGCGGCGUGGAUUAGGCAUGCAAGUCGAACGUGAUCCGUAGCAAUACGGUGAAAGUGGCGGAAGGGUGAGUAAUGCAUAGAUAACCUACCCCCAAGUCUGGGAUAACUCUGGGAAACUGGAGCUAAUGCUGGAUGGGGUUGCGGGGUCUCCUGGUCCUGCAACUAAAGGCAGCCUCUGAAUAUGCUGUCGCUCGGAGAGGGAUCUAUGUCCUAUCAGCUAGUUGGUGGGGGUAAUGGCCCACCAAGGCAUUGACGGGUAGCCGGCCUUAGCGGGUGUCCGGCCACAUUGGGACUGAGACACUGCCCAAACUCCUACGGGAGGCUGCAGUCGAGGAUCUUCCGCAAUGGGCGCAAGCCUGACGGAGCGACGCCGCGUGUGGGAUGAAGGCCUUCGGGUUGUAAACCACUGUCACCGGUUAAGAAAGGGUCUCGUGUUAACAGCGCGAGGCACUGACAAAGGCCGGAGAGGAAGCCACGGCUAACUUCGUGCCAGCAGCCGCGGUAAGACGAAGGUGGCGAGCGUUGUUCGGAAUCACUGGGCAUAAAGCGCACGUAGGCGGCGGCGUAAGUCGGAUGUGAAAUCCCUCGGCCUAACCGAGGAACUGCGUCCGAUACUGCGUUGCUUGGGGACCAAAGGGGUGCAUGGAAUUUCCGGUGGAGCGGUGAAAUGCGUUGAUAUCGGAAGGAACGUCGGCGGCGAAAGCGGUGCACUGGUUGGUUACCGACGCUGAGGUGCGAAAGCCAGGGGAGCAAACGGGAUUAGAUACCCCGGUAGUCCUGGCCGUAAACGAUGGGUACUAGUUAGGGGGGAACCAAACGCCUCUCUGAUGGAGUGAAUAUAUUAAGUACCCCGCCUGGGAAGUACAGUCGCAAGGUUGAAACUCAAAGGAAUUGACGG
rnacentral:rRNA from 1 species